UACGUAGGGUGCGAGCGUUGUCCGGAUUUAUUGGGCGUAAAGGGCUCGUAGGCGGUCCGUCACGUCGGAAGUGAAACCCCGGGGCUUAACUCCGGGCCUGCUUUCGAUACGGGCGGACUUGAGUUCGGUAGGGGAGACCGGAAUUCCUGGUGUAGCGGUGGAAUGCGCAGAUAUCAGGAGGAACACCGAUGGCGAAGGCAGGUCUCUGGGCCGAUACUGACGCUGAGGAGCGAAAGCGUGGGGAGCGAACAGG
rnacentral:rRNA from 1 species